CAGCCGCCCGUCUUCCACAUAGAACUGCACCCGGAGGAAGGCCACAAACGGGGCCCUGGACCUCCUGCCCUCCGGACGCCCCCGGCUCC